UUUAACAAAAGGAGUAUUUAGGAGGAUAUUUAAAAUAUUGUGAUAUACUUAAAUGUGUGCAUAAUAUGGAUAGUUUGCUUUUGACAGAUAUUUCAUUCAGCACUUGUUAUUUCAGAAAUAUUGAGCAUUCUCACAUACUUUAUUUUCUCACAGCUAAUACAAUUAAUAAUUGCAGGCAAUCCCAUUUUAACAUCACAAAUUCAAGAAUACAAUCAGCAAAAUAAAGGGCUUCUAAAAGAUUUAACUUAUCAACUUGCUGAAGGAGGAGGUUAGUUAAAGGUUCAAUUUGAUUUAGAUUUACUUUUAUUAUUGCAGGCACUUUAUGAUAGACUUUUUUUUUUUUUCAGAUGAAGAUUCUCAACAAUUAAAGCAAUUCAUUAGAAAGACACUUGAAAAAAUACGGCCAGAAAACACACCAUCAAGAGAGGUACUCAUCCACAGUUUCUGGGUUGUCGUGACAAUAGCUGCCACACUGUCUGCCUAUUUUUAUUGCAAGCUGAAUAGAAAUACUGAAAAGAAGAGAUAUGAUGGGUAUCAGUACCUGAAGCUUUUUGGAAACUGCAGAAAGUGUUUUAAAUUGCAUUAAACUCUCCAGAAUCACAAUCAAAAUGUUUAUUUGUGGUAGUAUUGUGAAUUAAUAAUCCAGCUCAUUGGAUAUUUGUUCUUAUUGUUUUAAAGACACAUAGUUAUUACAAAUGUGUCAUGAUGUUCGAUUUAAUAAUCCAAACGUGUCAUGAUGUUCAACUUAAUAAUCCAAAUGUGUCAUUAGGCAAGAAUAAGAAGAUGAUCCAUAACUAGCACCACUGUAGCACCACUGCACUUGUGAGACAUCUUGCUUAAUAAAAUAUGGUGAAUAUAUUUGAAUGUUGGAUGAUAAUCUGUA